AACGAACGCUGGCGGCAGGCUUAACACAUGCAAGUCGAGCGCGUAGCAAUACGAGCGGGCAGACGGGUGAGUAACGCGUGGGAAUCUACCCAACCCUACGGAAUAACGCAUGGAAACGUGUGCUAAUACCGUAUACGCCCUUUGGGGGAAGAUUUAUCGGGGAUAGAUGAGCCCGCGUUGGAUUAGCUAGUUGGUGGGGUAAAGGCCUACCAAGGCGACGAUCCAUAGCUGGUCUGAGAGGAUGAUCAGCCACAUUGGGACUGAAACACGGCCCAAACUCCUACGGGAGGCAGCAGUGGGGAAUAUUGGACAAUGGGCGAAAGCCUGAUCCAGCAAUGCCGCGUGAGUGAUGAAGGCCUUC
rnacentral:rRNA from 1 species